CACACUUACGUAUAUUACAUUAUUAACUUUAGUUUUAUCACAAGAAAAAAAAAAUCAUGACAUUCCCUCUAUCGCUUAAAAUAACAUCACUACCACUACCACUACCACAUUCAUUGCACCAAAGUAGUUUGUUUUAGUAUUCCUAUAUAAAGGAGGACAAAUUUAGGAUGUAAGCUCAUUGCAUUAUGCCCUUGUUUCACUGACGCUUGGUUUCAAAAAAUUGUUAGAAAAACGAAAACGAAAGACAGGAGGAUAUUAAUCUGGUGCAUUACCACACAUCAAACCAGUCGACACAUCCCGAUAUUGAAACUACACCGAACGGAUUAAUUGAAAAAAACAAAUCAUUCAAUCAAUUUAACUGUUUGUUUAUGUGCAACAUACAUAAAAUGAGAAUUACUACAGCCGUCACACUAGCACUUUUGCUAGUUGUUAUUCAUCCAAUUAAACUGUCGUUGGCGGCCCAAACUCCAUGUAAACCGUGUAAAAUAAAUGAUGAACUCAUAUUGCAGAAAGCCUGGGUCUGUGGUGAAUGUGGCUCCUUAUACAAGGACACUGCAAUAGAGUACUGUUGCGUAUGCGACCAGGGAUUCUAUGACAAAUGCCUCAUCGCUACGGGUAUCGAUAAGGACAGAGACACUAAUCUUAAUCCGCACUAACAUUCCUGAACGAUCUCCUUUUUUUUUUCUGUUGGCGGAUUGGCAGGAUUGUUAAAGCGAAGAUUAAAAAUAACUCGUAUUUACUUCUCUUUACGUUCUGAGUUCACAUCCUGCUAAAGUCAACUUUGUUUUUCAUCCUUACUAGUACCACUAGUAAAAUACUUGGACCAAUACAAUUUAAAGAUACUCAUCUCUCCAAAUUAUUAUUAUUGUUGUUAUUAUUAUUAUUAUUAUUAUUAUUAUUA
rnacentral:lncRNA from 1 species